rnacentral:rRNA from 1 species
AACGAACGCUGGCGGCAUGCCUAACGCAUGCAAGUCGAACGAGACCUUCGGGUCUAGUGGCGCACGGGUGCGUAACGCGUGGGAACCUGCCCUUAGGUUCGGAAUAACUCAGAGAAAUUUGAGCUAAUACCGGAUAAUGUCUUCGGACCAAAGAUUUAUCGCCUUUGGAUGGGCCCGCGUAGGAUUAGCUUGUUGGUGGGGUAAUGGCCUACCAAGGCGACGAUCCUUAGCUGGUCUGAGAGGAUGAUCAGCCACACUGGGACUGAGACACGGCCCAGACUCCUACGGGAGGCAGCAGUGGGGAAUAUUGGACAAUGGGCGAAAGCCUGAUCCAGCAAUGCCGCGUGAGUGAUGAAGGCCUUAGGGUUGUAAAGCUCUUUUACCAGGGAUGAUAAUGACAGUACCUGGAGAAUAAGCUCCGGCUAACUCCGUG